rnacentral:rRNA from 1 species
UACCAGCACCCCGAGUGGUCGGGACGAUUAUUGGGCCUAAAGCAUCCGUAGCCGGUUUUACAAGUCCUCGGUUAAAUCCAGCUGCUUAACAGAUGGGCUGCGGAGGAUACUAUAAGACUAGGAGGCAGGAGAGGCAAGCGGUACUCAGUGGGUAGGGGUAAAAUCCGUUGAUCCAUUGAAGACCACCAGUGGCGAAGGCGGCUUGCCAGAAUGCGCUCGACGGUGAGGGAUGAAAGCUGGGGGAGCAAACCGG